rnacentral:rRNA from 1 species
UACGGGGGGGGCAAGCGUUGUUCGGAAUUACUGGGCGUAAAGGGCGUCGUAGGCGGCCAACUAAGUCGGACGUGAAAUCCCCAGGCUCAACCUGGGAACUGCGUCCGAUACUGGAUGGCUUGAAUUCGGGAGAGGGAUGCAGAAUUCCAGGUGUAGCGGUGAAAUGCGUAGAUAUCUGGAGGAAUACCGGUGGCGAAGGCGGCAUCCUGGACCGACAUUGACGCUGAGGAGCGAAAGCUAGGGGAGCAAACGGG